UGGGGAAUAUUGCACAAUGGGGGAAACCCUGAUGCAGCCAUGCCGCGUGUGUGAAGAAGGCCUUCGGGUUGUAAAGCACUUUCAGCGAGGAGGAAAGGAUGAUGCCUAAUACGUAUCAACUGUGACGUUACUCGCAGAAGAAGCACCGGCUAACUCCGUGCCAGCAGCCGCGGCAAUACGGAGGGUGCAAGCGUUAAUCGGCAUUACUGGGCGUAAAGCGCACGCAGGCGGUUGGAUAAGUUAGAUGUGAAAGCCCCGGGCUCAACCUGGGAAUUGCAUUUAAAACUGUCCAGCUAGAGUCUUGUAGAGGGGGGUAGAAUUCCAGGUGUAGCGGUGAAAUGCGUAGAGAUCUGGAGGAAUACCGGUGGCGAAGGCGGCCCCCUGGACAAAGACUGACGCUCAGGUGCGAAAGCGUGGGGAGCAAACA
rnacentral:rRNA from 1 species